rnacentral:lncRNA from 1 species
AUGGAUGGCUCUUUCGCCAACAAGCAUGGCUGCCACAUCAUAGGCCACAUCGAUGACUAUACUGCUCUCAGAGAGCAGAUUGCAGAGGGGAAACAGCUGGUUGAAAAGAUACAGUCUCUCCUGAGACCCACAUGCAACUUCCUGGGCCUUGAAGCUCAGAGCUUAGAGGCACCAGGCAGCAAAUGUUUCCAUGAGCUAAGAAGCAGUGCUCAUGCCCUGCAGCACACCCUAGAUGAGUCAGCCUCGCUCCUGACCAUGUUCUGGAGAGCAGCUUUACCAAGCUUCCACGGCCCUGGGCUGCCUGGCAAAGUGGUAAGAGGCCAGUGUUGUCUUCUGGUAUAAGCCCUGCUCUUCUGCCCCAUGAGAUUCUAUAGUCUCAGUUCCAGGGCUUUCUGAGGGUCACAAGCUACAUAGGUUGUUAGAAUGUGCUGGAUCUU